CUCGUAGGCGGUUCGUCGCGUCCGGUGUGAAAGUCCAUCGCUUAACGGUGGAUCUGCGCCGGGUACGGGCGGGCUGGAGUGCGGUAGGGGAGGACUGGAAUUCCCGGUGUAACGGUGGAAUGUGUAGAUAUCGGGAAGAACACCAAUGGCGAAGGCAGGUCUCUGGGCCGUUACUGACGCUGAGGAGCGAAAGCGUGGGGAGCGAACA
rnacentral:rRNA from 1 species